GUAAGAAUAUUCCGCAAUGGGGGGAACCCUAACGGAGCGACGCCGCGUGAACGAAGAAGGCCGGAAGGUUGUAAAGUUCUUUUCUGUCCGAGGAAUAAGUUUUGGAGGAAAUGCCAAGAUGGUGACGGUAGGGCAGGAAUAAGCACCGGCUAAUUACGUGCCAGCAGCCGCGGUAACACGUAAGGUGCGAGCGUUGUUCGGAAUUAUUGGGCGUAAAGGGCAUGCAGGCGGGUCGCCAAGCUUGGUAAGAAAUACCGGGGCUCAACUCCGGAGCUAUAUUGAGAACUGGCGAGCUAGAGUUGCCGAAGGGUAUCCGGAAUUCCGCGUGAAGGGGUGAAAUCUGUAGAUAUGCGGAAGAACACCGAUGGCGAAGGCAGGAUACCGGCGGACGACUGACGCUGAGGUGCGAAGGUGCGGGGAGCAAACAGGAUUAGAUACCCUGGUAGUCCGCACAGUCAACGAUGUACACUGGGCGUGUGCGCAAGAGCGUGCGUGCCGAAGCAAACGCGAUAAGUGUACCGCCUGGGGAGUAUGCCCGCAAGGGUG
rnacentral:rRNA from 1 species